UCAAGGUUAGACCAAGAUUUUGCUUGUCGUUAGCGCCACCUAGGCCUUGCUUACGAGUCAACUUACUCAUAAAUGAACGGAAGAUUCCCGAGGGGGCGCCACGGCGACGUUUACAGCGUGGAUGCUGAUUUGCAUUUUUCGCGAGGCGUCAUUUUCGUUAUCAGAGAAAAGCGUUGUUUCUUGCAGAAGUUUUUUGCUUUCCGCGACCAAUAAUUUAUUAAAACAUGAGUUUUAGACCUUGUUGUGUGCCUAACAGUGCGAUGAUAUUUGUUCUAAACGGUGUUCAUUUCCUAGAAGACUCGUAUGUCUUGUUUUCAAGAUUACUACAUACAUUAUUCGUUCUACAUACUACCUAUAUUUCGAAGGUUUCCACGGUGUUGCUUCCAUAGAGAAUAGCUUCCUGGCAAAAGACGCUUGGUGCGACCCAUAGUCAAACUGUGCGAUAUUCAUGGACCAUCGCUCGAAUAUGUUCAUGGCACAUCAAAUAUCGCCACAGUUCCGGGCUCCAAAGGCACUCUUUCCAGGGAUAGCAGCUCAAAUCACUCAAAAAUUAAAGAUGAUAUUCUGGACAGCCCUUUUACAGCUGUCAC